GAUGAACGCUGGCGGCGUGCCUAAUACAUGCAAGUCGAGCGAAGCGGCGGACGGGUGAGUAACGCGUAGGCAACCUGCCCCUGACAGAGGGAUAGCCAUUGGAAACGAUGAUUAAAACCUCAUGGUCAGGGAUGGGCCUGCGUCUGAUUAACUAGUUGGGGAGGUAACGGCUCACCAAGGUGACGAUCAGUAGCCGACUGGAGAUGGUGAUCGGCCACAUUGGAACUGAGACACGGUCCAAACUUCUACGGAAGGCAGCAGUAGGGAAUCUUGCACAAUGGGGGGAACCCUGAUGCAGCGACGCCGGGUGAGCGAAGAAGGUUUUCGAAUCGUAAAGCUCUGUCCUAUGAGAAGCGGUAUCAUAGGAGGAAGCCCCGGCUAAAUACGUGCCAGCAGCCGCGGUAAUUC
rnacentral:rRNA from 1 species